rnacentral:tRNA from 1 species
CUCGCGAUAGCUCAGUUGGUAGAGCGGAGGACUGUAGAUCCUUAGGUCGGUGGUUCGAAUCCGUCUCGCGAGG